UUGCAUAUACUAACGGAUGCGAUCAUGCCAGCACUAAUGCACCGGAUCCCAUCAGAACUCCGCAGUCAAGCGUGCUUGGGCGAGAGUAGUACUAGGAUGGGUGACCUCCCGGGAAGUCCUCGUGUUGCAUCCCUCUUUUAUGUUUAACC
rnacentral:rRNA from 1 species